UACAGAGGUCUCAAGCGUUGUUCGGAUUUAUUGGGCGUAAAGCGUGCGUAGGCGGCGGGGUAAGUGAGGUGUGAAAUCCCGGAGCUUAACUCCGGAACUGCACUUUAUACUGCCUUGCUCGAGGGCUGGAGAGGAGACUGGAAUUUACGGUGUAGCUAGUGAAAUGCGUAGAGAUCGUAAGGAAGACCAGUGGCGAAGGCGAGUCUCUGGAAAGCUGCUGACGCUGAGGCACGAAGGCCAGGGGAGCAAACGGG
rnacentral:rRNA from 1 species